AUAAAACCACCUGUCUCGCUC
rnacentral:miRNA from 1 species